CUCAUGGCCAUGGAGAAGGGAAGUGUGAAGGAUAUUCAAGGAAAAACUCUGGAUGAAAUUGGUGGUAUGCAUGGUUUAUAUGUUGUUAAAUCGGCUUGGUGUUUGUGAAUAUGGUUGGUCUAAUAACAUUUUUUCAAUUUUAUAGAUGACAUAGAUGGGAUGGCUACUGGAUCACAGCAACUCCCUGAUGCUUCCACAUCAUGAGAUGACCAGGGGAAUGAUGCCUGUGUGACUUCUGGUUCACCUCCUGUCCCUGACUCAGUUACUAAAGGUUUACGUGUUUCAUCAAGGCGGUGUGUGAAGAGACCAUGGUCUGAGGAGGAGAUAGGAGCGGUGAUGAAACAUAUGAAGCCUUUUAUUGAAAACGGUAUCACUGUCACCAACCAGCAGUGUCUGAAGUGCAAAGAAAAGGAACAACCUAUCUUGGAGA
ensembl:lncRNA